rnacentral:tmRNA from 1 species
GGGGCCGUAAAGGUUUCGACGGGGAUUUGGAAGCGAAGUAAGCGAGCAGAAGCGCACAACUUCUUUAAAAUGUGUACUUUAAAAUUAAACGCUAACAAUAAUAAAUUAGCAGUCGCUGCCUAAGUGCAGUGACCGUCGUACCGAGGAGCACCGCGGCCUCGGAUACGGCGUCACUUAGCGGUGAACGUGCGUAGGGUUAAGCUUUGCCCCCUGCCAUGAACUAAUGAAGCUACCGUAUGUGAUUGCCUGCCGUUCGGCGAGCGCAUAGGGGAAUCUUAAUGAACGGCUGCGCUCGGAGAAAGCAUCGUGGACGGGUUUUCGGACAGGGGUUCGAUUCCCCUCGGCUCCACCA